rnacentral:rRNA from 1 species
GACGAACGCUGGCGGCGUGCUUAACACAUGCAAGUCGAGCGAUGAACCUUUCAUGAAUUUUUCGGAAUGAUUGGAAGAGGAUUAGCGGCGGACGGGUGAGUAACGCGUGAGCAACCUGCCUUAAACAACGGGAUAGCCUCGGGAAACCGGGAUUAAUGCCGUAUGAGACCCCGCCUUCACAUGAAGAAGAGGGUAAAGAUUUAUCGGUUUAAGAUGGGCUCGCGUCUGAUUAGCUAGUUGGUGAGAUAAAAGCCCACCAAGGCAACGAUCAGUAACCGGCUUGAGAGAGUGAACGGUCACAUUGGAACUGAGACACGGUCCAAACUCCUACGGGAGGCAGCAGUGGGGAAUAUUGCACAAUGGGGGAAACCCUGAUGCAGCGACGCCGCGUGAGCGAUGAAGGAACUCGUUUCGUAAAGCUCUGUCCAAGGGGAAGAUAAUGACAGUACCCUUGGAGGAAGCCCCGGCUAAAUACGUGCCAGCCGCCGCAGUAA